UACGUAGGGUGCAAGCGUUAAUCGGAAUUACUGGGCGUAAAGCGUGCGCAGGCGGUUGUGCAAGACAGAAUGUGAAAGUCCCCGGGCUACCAACCUGGGAACUGCAUUUGUGACUGCACGGCGUGGAGUGCGGCAGAGGGGGAUGGAAUUCCGGCGUGUAGCAGUGAAAUGCGUAGAUAUGGCGGAGGAACACCGAUGGCGAAGGCAAUCCCCUGGGCCUGCACUGACGCUCAUGCACGAAAGCGUGGGGGAGCAAACAGGAUUAGAACUACCC
rnacentral:rRNA from 1 species